GUGAGGAUAACAAGCAGUUAGCAGCCUCUUGUUCCAUGUCCCUGUGCGAAAGUAUGGCAAGAAAACAAAUCGAGUGCGGUAUAUAAUUAAUCUCCCACCAAUCUCCUGUUUUUGUUAGCGCUGAAAUGUGUCUCAGUGAGCACAAAGUUAGUGUGAUGUUAUAGUGCGGUGUGGAUGUGAGGGCGUGAGGUGGGCGUGUGUCAGCCAAAGGAAGGGCAGCACAUUCGAAGACAGCCGAGGUGAUCCCACACCAGCUGAACAAAUCCUCGGCCUUUUGUCUUUAUGGCGGCGGGCGAGUGUGGUUCCUUGUGUGUGCGUGCGUGCGUGGCGUCUUGGUUAGUGUAGUGAUAGUGUGUUGAUCCUAUUGAAUGCGUCUUCCUCGCGUUGGAUUUGGUGAGUACCCGUAUCACAGGUCACACCGUGGGACUGACACCGCUGGAGCAACCCUUCGGAAUAAAGUCAAGUACAAAUUACGGUUUGCUAGGCGUUAGGUGUUAGGCAUAGGGCGAUAGGCGGCGCGGCUAACCAUUCUCUUCCAGGUACAAACUAACCUUCUCUUCCAGGUACAUGUUAAUUAUCUAGUCUUCCCCAGUAAUGCCCUGGUUAGCGCACCGUGGCGGCGAUCCAGGAGCCUCGUGGCGGUGGUAGUGGCGUGGCUGGCUGGCUGGCUGUGGCGGGCGUGCACGUGCUAUCAUAUGGGUUGCGUGGUAGGUGCGUUCACUGGUCUGGGCUGUGUUGGUGCGUGUUCUGAAGAGAUGACCGCAGACACGCUGGCUGCUGAUGACUAGACCCGCACAGAGGCAGUGUACUGUACAAGCUGGAUGGAAGUAUGCAAACCUCGCAAUGAAGAUGGAAAAGGUCCGCAGAAAACGACACGCCGAUUUAUUUGAAGUCAAGGACGGAGAUUAAACCGGCCUUGAAAAACACCAUACCCGUUUUGUCCACCGCCAUCACCACCUUCUCCCAGAUCAAGGACAAAGUGUAUUACAGACUCACACAUAAGGAAGAGGUGCUUGCCAUGAGGGAGGCGGUGGAGGUGUGGGGGGUCCAGCACACCAUCACAGACAACCUGUAGUUCAUGCUUGGGAUGGGACACACUGGGACAGCCUCGGACAUUCUUUGUAUAUUAGGUCCUUUAGUUCUGGCACCAUCUUUUUAGCAAUCUUCUGUAUCUGUUCUGAUCUUCUUAUAUCCUUUUCAGAACUCGUGGAGACCACACCACAGCUGCAUAUUCCAGCC